GAAGACAGCCUAUUGGGACGAUGCAGCUGCAUGGUUCAGCAGGGACUACUGAAGUACAAGCAUCCUUUUCAGGGGGGAUUUUGAUGUUACUGAUAUAAUUCCGCAGAUAUUUACUGGAAUUCGAGCUCAUACGCCUGGGAAGCUGCACAGGAAGGCCUAUGAUAUGCUAAAAUUGCUUCCAGAGAUGCUUAAGCUCAGGGAGCACAGGCGGCCGGACGUUUGGCCAAAAUCUUUUUGACUCCAGUCCACCAACCCUCAGAGACAUUGGCAUAUACUUUUUUGCAGAAGAACUGCCAGAGCACAAAGAUAUGUAUGAGAAUUUCUUGAAAAGGU